UCCGUGGUGACGCGGAAUCUGAAGGAAGCGAGCGGCAAACUAUUGAAAUCCAUAAAUUCUGCAAAUUUAAUUUAUAAAAUAAAAAUUACUUCU
rfam:Anoxybacillus sp. B7M1, complete genome.